AUCCAGCUGACCAGUCCCAUAUAGAACGAAACUCGCUUCAAACUGGAU
rnacentral:hammerhead_ribozyme from 1 species